rnacentral:miRNA from 1 species
CGCAGAACUGAAACAAGUUGA